rnacentral:rRNA from 1 species
CACGUAGGGCGCGAGCGUUGUCCGGAAUUAUUGGGCGUAAAGAGCUCGUAGGCGGCCUGUUGCGUCCGCUGUGAAAGCCCGGGGCUUAACCCCGGGUCGCAGUGGAUACGGGCAGGCUAGAGGUAGGUAGGGGAGAAUGGAAUUCCCGGUGUAGCGGUGAAAUGCGCAGAUAUCAGGAGGAACACCAAUGGCGAAGGCAGCACUCUGGGACGUGACUGACGCUGAGACGCGAAAGCGUGGGGAGCAAACAGG